rnacentral:rRNA from 1 species
GAUGAACGCUAGCGGCAGGCUUAACACAUGCAAGUCGAGGGGCAGCAUAAACAUUGCUUGCAAUGUUUGAUGGCGACCGGCGCACGGGUGCGUAACGCGUAUGUAACCUACCUCAAACAGGGGCAUAACACUGAGAAAUUGGUACUAAUUCCCCAUAACACCUGAUAGGGCAUCCUAUUAGGUUGAAAGUUCCGGCGGUUUGAGAUGGGCUCGCGUCCGAUUAGAUAGUUGGCGGGGUAACGGCCCACCAAGUCGACGAUCGGUAGCCGGACUGAGAGGUUGAUCGGCCACAUUGGGACUGAGACACGGCCCAAACUCCUACGGGAGGCAGCAGUGAGGAAUAUUGGGCAAUGGGCGCAAGCCUGACCCAGCAACGCCGCGUGAAGGAAGAAGGCUUUCGGGUUGUAAACUUCUUUUACCAGGGACGAAGACGUGACGGUACCUGGAGAAUAAGCCACGGCUAACUACGUG